rnacentral:rRNA from 1 species
UACGUAGGCAGCAAGCGUUGUUCGGAGUUACUGGGCGUAAAGGGUGUGUAGGCGGUCUUCUAAGUUUGGUGUGAAAUCUCCCGGCUCAACUGGGAGGGUGCGCCGAAAACUGGGAGGCUAGAGUCCGGAAGAGGAGAGUGGAAUUCCUGGUGUAGCGGUGAAAUGCGUAGAUAUCAAGUGGAACACCAGUGGCGAAGGCGAGUCUCUGGACAUUUCCUGACGCUGAGGCACGAAAGCCAGGGGAGCAAACGGG